CUGUUUCUGAGGCCCUCUAGAUGCAGCCCCCAGCCACCACCAACGGCAGCCAGAGCGCCAGAAUUCGGCUUAGAGUUUGAUCCUGGCUCAGGACGAACGCUGGCGGCGGGCCUAACACAUGCAAGUCGAGCGACGGCGUCCAAGAAGUCCCUUUGGGAUGGAUUGGUCGUACGGAGCGGCAAACGGGUGAGUAACACGUAGCUAACCUACCCGCUUGCCGGGGAUAACCCUCCGAAAGGGGGGCUAAUACCCGAUGGUCUUCCAGGGCGCAAGCCUAUGGGAGUAAAGGUGCGGGGCAACCUGCACCGCGAGCGGAGGGGGCUGCGGCCCAUCAGCUAGUUGGUGGGGUAAUGGCCCACCAAGGCGAUGACGGGUAGGGGGCCUGAGAGGGUGGCCCCCCACAUGGGGACUGAGACACGGCCCCGACUCCUACGGGAGGCAGCAGUGGGGAAUCUUGGGCAAUGGGCGAAAGCCUGACCCAGCAACGCCGCGUGCGGGAAGAAGCCCUUCGGGGUGUAAACCGCUUUUCUGGGGGAAGAACCAGGUGGGGAGGAAAUGCCCCGCCCCUGACGGUACCCCAGGAAUAAGGGACGGCUAACUACGUGCCAGCAGCCGCGGUAAGACGUAGGUCCCGAGCGUUGCCCGGAUUUACUGGGCGUAAAGUGCGCGUAGGCGGUUCGGCAAGUCGCCCGUGAAAGCCCGGGGCUCAACUCCGGGAGGCCGGGCGAUACUGCCGGGCUAGAGGACGGCAGAGGAGGGUGGAGCGACCGGAGUAGCGGUGAAAUGC
rnacentral:rRNA from 1 species